rnacentral:rRNA from 1 species
UGGGGAAUCUUGCGCAAUGGGCGAAAGCCUGACGCAGCGACGCCGCGUGCGGGAUGACGGCCUUCGGUUGUAAACCGCUUUCAGCAGGGACGAGGCCGCAAGGUGACGGUACCUGCAGAAGAAGCCCCGGCUAACUACGUGCC